rnacentral:rRNA from 1 species
AGCUCCAAUAGCGUAUAUUAAAGUUGCUGCAGUUAAAAAGCUCGUAGUUGCAUUUCCGAGGCAAGGGAUUAGUCCGACCUUUGGUGGGUAUUUAAUCCUCUUGCCUCGUCCUUGAGUGGUGCUUCUUGGUAUUAAGUUAUCGAGGAGAUAGCCGCUCAUCGUUUACUGUGAGAAAAUUAGAGUGUUCAAAGCAGGCUUAUGCCGUUGAAUAUAUUAGCAUGGAAUAAUAAGAUAGGACCUCGGUAAUAUUUUGUUGGUUUGAGAACCAAGGUAAUGAUGAAUAGGGACAGUUGGGAGUAUUCGUAUUCAGUUGUCAGAGGUGAAAUUCUUAGAUUUACGGAAGACGAACUACUGCGAAAGCAUUUACCGAGGAUGUUUUCA